GCGAGGGUGGCGAAAUUGGUAGACGCACCAGGUUUAGGUCCUGACGCCCGCAAGGGUGUAGGGGUUCGAGUCCCCUUCCUCGCACCA
rnacentral:tRNA from 1 species